UACGUAGGGUGCGAGCGUUAAUCGGAAUUACUGGGCGUAAAGCGUGCGCAGGCGGUGAGCUGUGUCCGAUGUGAAAGCCCCCGGGCUUAACCUGGGAAUGGCAUUGGAAACUGGCUCGCUGGAGUGUGGCAGAGGGGGGGUGGAAUUCCGCGUGUAGCAGUGAAAUGCGUAGAGAUGCGGAGGAACACCGAUGGCGAAGGCAGCCCCCCUGGGCUAACACUGACGCUCAGGCACGAAAAGCGUGGGGGAGCAAACAGG
rnacentral:rRNA from 1 species